UAGGGAAUCUUCGGCAAUGGACGGAAGUCUGACCGAGCAACGCCGCGUGAGUGAAGAAGGUUUUCGGAUCGUAAAGCUCUGUUGUUAGAGAAGAACGUUGGUAGGAGUGGAAAAUCUACCAAGUGUCGGUAACUAACCAGAAAGGGACUGCUAACUACGUGCCAGCAGCCGCGGUAAUACGUAGGUCCCGAGCGUUGUCCUGAUUUAUUGGGCGUAAAGCGAGCGCAGGCGGUUCUUUAAGUCUGAAGUUAAAGGCAGUGGCUUAACCAUAGUACGCUUUGGAAACUGGAGGACUUGAGUGCAGAAGGGGAGAGUGGAAUUCCAUGUGUAGCGGUGAAAUGCGUAGAUAUAUGGAGGAACACCGGUGGCGAAAGCGGCUCUCUGGUAUGUAACUGACGCUGAGGCUCGAAAGAGUGGGGAGCAAACAGG
rnacentral:rRNA from 1 species